CAGUAGCCGCGGUAAAACGGAGGGUGCAAGCGUUAAUCGGAAUUACUGGGCGUAAAGCGCACGCAGGCGGUCUGUCAAGUCAGAUGUGAAAUCCCCGGGCUUAACCUGGGAACUGCAUUUGAAACUGGCAGGCUAGAGUCUUGUAGAGGGGGGUAGAAUUCCAGGUGUAGCGGUGAAAUGCGUAGAGAUCUGGAGGAAUACCGGUGGCGAAGGCGGCCCCCUGGACAAAGACUGACGCUCAGGUGCGAAAGCGUGGGGAGCAAACAGGAUUAGAUACCCCUGUAGUCCCUGUCUCUUAUAC
rnacentral:rRNA from 1 species